rnacentral:rRNA from 1 species
GACGAACGCUGGCGGCGUGCCUAAUACAUGCAAGUCGAGCGGACUUAAAAAGCUUGCUUUUUAAGUUAGCGGCGGACGGGUGAGUAACACGUGGGCAACCUGCCUGUAAGACUGGGAUAACUUCGGGAAACCGGAGCUAAUACCGGAUAAUCCUUUUCUACUCAUGUAGAAAAGCUGAAAGACGGUUUACGCUGUCACUUACAGAUGGGCCCUCGGCGCUUUAGCUAGUUGGUGAGGUAACGGCUCAACAAGGCGACGAUGCGUAUCCGACCUGAGAGGGUGAUCGGAAAAACUGGGACUGAGACACGGCACAGACGCCUACGGGAGGCAGCAGUAGGGAAUAUUCCGAAAUGGACGAAAGUAUGACGGAGCAACGCCGAGUGAGUGAUGAAGGUGUUCGGAUCGUAAAACUCUGUUGUUAGGGAAGAACAAGUACGAGAGUAACUGCUCGUAGAUUGACGGUACCUAACCAGAAAGCCACGGCUAACUACGUG